AAUGAACGCUGGCGGCAGGCCUAACACAUGCAAGUCGAACGAGUGGCGGACGGGUGAGUAAUGUCUGGGAAACUGCCUGAUGGAGGGGGAUAACUACUGGAAACGGUAGCUAAUACCGCAUACCCUCAGAUGUGCCCCGAUGGGAUUAGCUUGUUGGUGGGGUAACGGCUAACCACGGCGACGAUCCCUAGCUGGUCUGAGAGGAUGACAAGCAACACUGGAACUGAGACACGGGACAGACUCCUACGGGAGGCAGCAGGGGGGAAUAGUGCACAAUGGGAGCAAGACGGAUGCAGACAUGCCGCGGGUAUGAAGAAGGCCGGCGGGUGGUAAAGUACUGUCAGCGGGGAGGCGUUACCAGCAGAAGAAGCAGCGGCUAACGCCGUGCCAGCAGCCGCGGUAAUAC
rnacentral:rRNA from 1 species